rnacentral:lncRNA from 1 species
AAAUAAAUACAUAUGAUGAUUUGAUUUUUGAUAUGAUACGAUACGGAAAAUGUUAGAAAGUGCUCUUAUUAAGAAGUUUAAAGCGAAAAUUUUAUCUUGGUAAUUAUGUAUUUUGCACGUUGAUGGGAUAUAAAGCAACUUUUUAUAUAUAUAAAACUUAUCAAUUGUUUCCUUUUUUGUAUCAUUAAAAAGUGCCCUAAAAGCACUUCUUAGCUUGACUCGUAUAAUAUUUAUCAUAAAAGAAAAUAGCUUUCCAUUCAAUAUAUUUUUGAAUCCUUUUUUGCCUACACCCUAACUAAAAUCAACCUUUUAUCUCUUGCAGGUACUUUUACUUGGCAUCUGCACCCCAAUGUUUUAUGCCAGAUCACUACCUUGACAAAGCUAUCAAAACUGGCUUGUUUGAUUAUAUACUUGUUCAAUUCUACAAUAAUCCUCCAUGUCAAUAUGAUAUAAUAAACUCAGAUGCUACAUUGCUCUUACAAUCAUGGAAUGAUUGGACAUCUUUAGCUUUACCAAAUAAUACCGUUUUCAUGGGACUACCAGCAGCACCUGAUGCAGCUCCUUAUGGUGGUUAUAUACCACCAGAUGAUCUCAUUUCUAAGGUUCUUCCUUUCAUUAAACCAACUUCGAACUAUGGAGGAAUUAUGCUUUGGGAUAGAUUUCAUGAUGUUGGAAAUGAUUACAGCAAUCAGAUAAAGGAGUAUGUUAAACGAUCUGUUCUUCGAUUUGUGACACAAGUUUCUGAGGCAAUAGUUGGAUCUAUCUCGGCAGCUUUGAACUCCAUGUUUCCGAAUUAAAUCAUAUUAUAAAUUGAUAGUAAUCGCGUAGCUCACUAUAUAUAUAUAUAUGUAUGUGUAUGCAAUAAGACAAAACUCAGAUCCUCUACGACCAACUUUACGAUGGUUAUAGAUCGUUAGAUUAAGAAAAAAAAGUGAUCAGGAUCACUUAUUAUGCUUUGUACCUUUAUGCAUAAUAUGUACCUAGUUACACUUUGAUUCCCUCGGUUUUCAUGUAACCGGUGGGAAUCAAAACAUCUUAUGUAUGUACUGGAAGUCACUUUGAAAUUUGAAUAACAUUGUGCGUUUUCAACUUAAAUUCUAACCAGUCUAUGUAAUUCACAAAAGUGUAUAAGAACAACUAUAUUUUUGUAAGUUUUUUCGUAAAACAUUUUCUUAACAAAAUAUGUAAUAUAAUGUGAACUCGAGUAUAAAGUUUUUUAAUCUGAUGAAGCGUCACUACGUGGUUAUACUUAAUGGCAGUUUGAUUUUUAGGGCAACAAAGGAAACAAGGCAGUUGGUUGAAGGUAGUGAAAGGGAGUAGUAUGGACUUCUGUAAGCUUAUGUACAUUAGUUAAUUAGAAGCAACCAGGUUUUUUGUGAAGAUGAAUACCAUACAAAUUCCAUAGUCACCACCAAAAUUCAAAAGAUUCUAUGUUUGUCCUGAUGCAUGUAGAAAAGAUUUUAUGGCGGAAUGUAGCUAGGUCAUUGAUUGAUUUAGAUGGAUGCUUUCUCAAAGGAUGUUUUGGAGGGAAACAAUUGUCUGUUGUGGGACAAGAUGAAAAUAAUUGCAAUUUUGUCACUGCUUAUGCCAUUGUGGAUGUAGAAAAUGGGGAUAAUUGGAAGUGGUUUUUGAUACUAUUGCAUGAGGAGCUUGGAGACAACGUGCAGAACGGAAUUAAUUUUAUUUCAGACAUGCAAAAGGUAAUAAAAUACUGCAUGGAUUAUAUUCUAUUUUGACAACUUUCUAUUCUGUUAUUAUAUUCUGCAUGUAUGUUAUAAUUGCUCGUUUUAGGAUCAACUUGUUGGGAAAGUGACUCAAAAUUGGAGAAAUUGAGUUUGCUGAAGCUGUCAAAAUCGGAGCCCGAUUUGGAGAAAUGGAGAAAUCGGAGCACGAUUUUAUGUUGCAGAAUUGGCACUUUCAUUCGUAAAAAAUCGGAGCACGAUUUUGCGCAGAGUCAGAAAAAUAAAACGUAUUUUUGGGCCUGAUUUUGUUCCAAUUUAUGAGGGAUUCUUUUACUAUAAAUAUAGGCUUUGUAUCAGUAAUCCUUGAGAUAGAGGGGGCUCAAACGAGGGUUUAGAAAGACAACAACAAAACUAGGGUUUGUAUAGAGUUUGUCUCUUUGGCAACAAACACUUGGGUUUGAGGGUUGAUUCACUUUGGGAAACACUAUUAGGAUUGAGUCUCUUGGUUACGGGAAGAGAUUGAGGCUUUGGGUAGAAGGCGGGAGACUUAUUCUUGUAACCAUUGAUAUCUCUUUUGUAACGUUACUCAUCAUAUAGUGAAACGGAUGACUGCUCUCUCCCCCAUACUAGGUCAAUUUGGACUGAACUGGGUCAACAAAUUCUUUUGUGUUCUCUCUUCUUUUCUCUCGCUGUUUUCUACUUUUUGUUUGCGUUUAUAAUUGUUUCAUACACUGCGAUUUUGGUUGCUUGAUUAUCACUUGCUCCACACAUCAAGUUGUGAAAGUGACUCAAAAUUGGAGAAAUUGAAGUUUGCUGAAACUGUCAAAAUCGAAGCCCGAUUUGGAAAAAUCGGAACACGAUUUUUUGGAGAAGAAUUGACACUUUCAUUCGUAAAAAAUCUGAGCACGGUCUGGAAAAAUCGGAGCACGAUUUCGCGCAGAAGAAUAAAAAUAAAACGUAUUUAUAUGGGCCUGAUUUGGUUCCAAUUUAUGAGGGAUGCUUUUACUAUAAAUAUAAACAUUGUAUCAGUGUAAACCUUGAGAUAGAGGGGGCUGAAACAAGGGUUUAGAAAGAUAACAACAAAACUAGAGUUCGUAUAGAGUUUGCCUCUUUGGAAGAAACACUAGGGUUUGAGGGUUGAUUCACCUUGAGAAACACUAUUAAGAUUGAGUCUCUUGGUUACGGUAAGAGAUUGAGACUUUGGGUAGAAUUAGGCGGGAGACUUAUUUUUGUAACCCAUUGAUAUCUCUUUUGUAAGGUUACUCAUCAUUAUAGUGAAACGGGGGCUGCUCUCUCCCACAUACUAGGUCAAUUUGGACAAGACUGGGUCAACAAAUUCUUUUGUGUUCUCUCUUCCUUUCUCUCCCGUUGUUUUCUACUUUUGGCUUGUGUUUAAAAUUGUUCCAUACACUUUGUUUUGGUUGCUUGACUAUCCCUUGCUCCACACAUCAAGUUUGUUAUUGGUGUGAUUUUUUCAUCGAAUUCACAACAGGAUGCUUGAUUUAUGCAUCAACCCUACCUGUUAACAGACAUAAAUUUGAUUAUAGAGCUAAGAAAUGUGCUUUCUUAUGUUAGAAGUCUGGCAUUAAAGGUUUUGUUCUUGUUGAUGUCCAUACUUCUGAAGUCUUAGUUUCCAAAUUUGUGAAAUUUUUUUAACUGGAAUUUCCAUUUCAUUCUUCUAGUAUAACUUCAGUUCCCAAUACACAGAUUUAUCUUUGAUAGUCAAGUCAUUUAACCAAUGCCUGUUAGUUCUUCUCCUCCUAAUGUUGUGAGUUCUAAUGAAGACAAUGUUGAAGUUUUAAAUGAAGAUAAUAUUAGUGAUAAUGAAGAGAGGGAUAUUGAUAUUGUGCAUGUAUCUACCAGAAAGUCUUUUAGGGUUUCUCAGGCACCUUCUCACUUGCAAGACUAUAUCUGCAUCUCCAUAGGUGGUAACUAUCCUAUGCGUAAAUUCCUUAGUUAUUCAACUCUAUUUCCUAAACACCAGCUUAUGCAUACUAUUUGAACACUGAACUUGAGCCCACUAGUUUUUAUUCUGCUAGUAAAGACUCUAGAUGGAUAACUGCUAUGCAGACAGAGAUAGAAGCACUCAAUGCUAACAAUACUUGAGAAUUUGUUGAUCUUCCUUCAGAUGCAACAUCUAUAGGCAGUAAUGAGUGUAUAAAAUAAAAAGACAUGCAGAUGGCACUAUAGAACGUUUCAAAGCACCGUUGGUUGCACAAGGUUUUAACCAAGUCAAUGCACACGUGGACGCCACGUAUGUAAUUUUUUUUAAUUAAAAAAUUAAAAUAAAAAUUUAUAUUUUUUAAUUUAAAAAUAUAUAUUAAAAAAUAAAAAAAUAAAAAAUACAUACACACGUGGCGUCCACAUGUGCAUUGACUUGGUCAAAAUUGCCCUGGGGGGCCAAAACUGUAAAAAAAGUCAAUACUUUGGGGGCAAUUUUGUAGUUUAUUUAGUUAGGAGGCCAAAAUCGCAACUUCUUAAAACAUAGGGGGCCAAAACUACUAUUAAGCUUUUUAUAAUCCAUCUAACAAUAGUGUUUUUUUUUUUUUGGGUAAAUACCUCUUUUCGUCCCUGUAAUAUUAGCGAAUUCCGAUUUUAGUCCCUAUAAAAAAAAGAUUUAGAUUUUGUCUCUGUAAUUUAAGAUUCUUCCACUUUUGAUCCCUCAUUCCACCACGUCAGCAGAAUCUGCAUACAUGGUACCUAAAAUGAGGGAUCAAAAGUGGAGGAAUCUGAAAUUAAAGGAACCAAAAGUGGGAGGAAUCUGAAAUUACAAGGACGUAAUUGAUGCAGAUUUUGCUGACGUGAUGAAAAGAGGGACCAAAAGUGGAAGAAUCUGAAAUUACAGGGACAAAAUCUAAAGCAUUUUAUUUACAGUGACUAAAACCGAAAUUCGCUAAUAUUACAGGGACGAAAAGAGGUAUUUACCCUUUUUUUUUUUUUGGCUUAAUUGCACUUUUCCCCCCUAUAGUUUGCCAAUUGUGCGAUUUUGCACCCCAUAGUUUUAACGAGCGAUUUUGCCCCCUAUAGAUUUCCCCCUUUAUGAUUUUAUGGUCCCCAUGAUAUUUAGUGCUGGUUUUUUUAUCAAUUAAUGUGUGUCACGUGUGUAAUUCUAUUUUUUAAAAAAUAAAAAAAUGGUAUUUUUCAGAUUUUGAGAGAAGGAGGCACGUGAUUUUUCAGAUUUUAUCACGUGUCUCCUUCUCUCAAAAUCUGAAAAAUACCAUUUUUUUUAUUUUUUAAAAAAUGGAAUUACACACGUGGCACACAUUAAUUGAUAAAAACAGACAUAUCAGCACUAAAUGUCAUGGGACCAUAAAAUCAGAAAGGGGGAAAACUAUAGGGGGCAAAAUCGCUCGUUUAAAACUAUGGGGUGUAAAAUCGCACAAUUGGCAAACUAUAAAAGAAAAAAGUGCAAUUAAGCCUUUUUUUUUUUACCGUAUGAAAGUAAUGAAAAAUAGCUUGUUUGCCCUAAACUAAAAUCAGCAGCACCUAUACUAAGUUCACUAUAUUAUACUCUUUCUUUUUUCUUGACAACACCAUGUUUUAUUAAAACAGCCCUGUGCCAGAAAUAACUAAAGGGCAAUAUAUCAACAGAGAACAAAAGCCAAAGGCCAACAUUAGUAGGAAAACCUCAUCCUAUGUUAUACCUACAGAUACAAUAGUGAAAUCAGAGCUUACAAAAUCAGAUAUCACUUAGAUAAACUAGCUACUAUAAGUCUUAAAUAUCUCUCAUUCGCUGUAAUUACUAUACAUAUAAGUUUAGUCAGCUUAAUAUAUAUUAAUAAAUUACAUUCCUAAAUUUCAUUAUCUCUAAAAUCAAUAUCUUUUUCCUUAAAGCAUACAAACAGCAUAUAAAUACUUAACUGACUUCUAAUUCAAUGUCUAAUUUUGAGUUGUAUGGGAAAGUGUCCUUACCUUAAGUGCUCUCCUUCCUAAUAUAUAGAGAAUUCUACCCAAUUGCCGGAACACGACUUCAAGAAUUAUUCUUCACUCAGGAGAGUACAAAUGGAAGAACAAAAGGGUGACUUUAUUUAGAAUGAAAUUAAAGGAUUGAAGAAAGAAUAGAAGAACAGACAAUGAAAUGACCCUUACCUCAAGACUUGAAUGGCAUGAAGCAUUUAUAUAAUAAAUGGGAGAGUUCAAUUGAGAAAAUGGUGGCUUGUAGUUUCAAUUUUUGGCAGGUAAAUGUUUUCAAUUUUGUGAGAUUAGAAAAUUUGGCUGAGUAUUGUAGGUGAGGUGUAUUUCUGUACUGGAAAUUGGAAAUAUGAAGUGGUGGUAGUUGAGAAGAAAUAGGAACAUGUGACAUAAAAGUUGAGACUUGAGAGGAGUGGGGGGUAGGGUAGGGAAUAGGUCAGAUCGGCCUACAAGGGUCUAUGGUCUGACAUGUUUAAGCCUGAUCUGACCUGUUUAUUAAAAAGGUUAGGCUUAGACUUUUUAAAAAGCCUAUUUAAGUAAAUAGGUCAGGCUUAGGCUAUCAAAAAAGCCUAUGAAACCUAGUAGGCCGGCCUGUUUAUGCAUGUUAGGCUUCAUAGUGGACUUUUUAAAUAGGCUUUAAAGCUUUAUAGUGAAAUAGGCUUUUAAGGUCUUAUAGUAGUGAUAGACAAGUCUUACACUGAAAUAGGUUUUGAGGUCUAUUAAGCCUAUUUAAAAAUAGAUAAAAUGGUAUGUUUAGUAACUUUAAGAGUAAGUAGGCCUGUAAAUAGACUUUCAGGUCAGGCCAGACCAGGCCAAAAAAAUAGGCCUAUGAAAGGCCAUAGACCAAGCUCAGGCCUGCAAUUUUUUUGUAGGCCAGACUCAGGCCUAUCAAAGUCUGACCUGGCCUGGCCUAUUCCCAACCUUAGUGGGGAGUUAUUUGACCAAGCACACAUGCAGAGAAGUUAUAAAAUUUAAAGUCUUGCACACGUCCAACCCUUCCACUAAUUCCUUAAUUAGUUUCCUAUUAUCAUUAUUUUUAUUUACAUCAUUUGUUUGGUCUGGCAUAUGGCAUUCUUUCAUCCCUAAUCUAGCACACUUGCAACUUCCCUUAUGUGUCAUCAUUAUCACAUAGAAUUCUACACAAUUCUCAUUGUAACCGGUUCUCCUAACUAAUGCUAAAUAAUUUAUCUAUUAGUCAUAGUAAUCUAACCAUACCAUAUUGUUCUAAAUAAAAUAAAUGCAUUCAAUAAGUAAAACAACUUACUAAAUCAAAGGCGUCAACACAAAUUAGUAGAAGAUUAUCCUAUUAAAUCAUACCAAAAUUACCAAUCAAUGCAGCUAACGAGAUAAAUAAUUAGAAUAGAUUAAACUAGUUACUCUAAUUUAUUUAAUUAAAAUAAAUAAAUAAUAGAGAGUGUUACAAUACUAACCCUCUAAAAAGAGUUUCGUCACUGAAACUAGUCAUCUAAGAAUAAGGUAGGAUGAAGCUCCCUCAUCUUAUCUUCUCGUUCCCAUGUAGUAUCUCCAGUUGCUUGAUUCCAAAUUACCUUGACUAGACGAAUCUCCUUACCCCGCAAGUACUUCACGCUCCUAUCACCAAUACUCAUUGGAGGAACCUCAAAAGAAAGGUUUUCCUUCAACUGGAUGUCGUCAGGUGCGAUAACAUGAGAACUAUCAGCCAUGUACCUUCUCAGCUGCGACACAUGAAACACAUCAUGAAGACCUGUCAAAUUUGGAGGUAAGGCAAUCUGAUAUGCUAGUGAUCCCACACGUCGAAGAAUCUGAUAUGGCCCAAUAAACUUUGGAGUAAGCUUAUUGGACUUCAAUGCUCUACCCACUCCAGUAGUGGGUGUCACCCUUAGAAACACAUUAUCACCUUCCUGGAAUUCCAAAGGCUUCCUCCGUCGAUUUGCAUAACUCUUCCAUCUUUUAUGGGACGUCUUCAUUUGUUCAUCGAUUAACCUAACCUUUCAGUCGUCUGUUGUACCAACUCAGGUCCUACUAACAUGCUCUCACACCGUCCUUGUACCAACAUAAUGGUGUCUAACAUUUACGCCCAUACAGAGCCUCGUAUGGCGCCAUUCCAAGGCUCGCAUGGUAAUUGUUAUUGUAGGUAAAUUCAAUAAGUGGUAACAAAUUGUCCUAGCUUCCCCGAUCGUCCAAGACACAUGCCCUUAACAUGUCCUCUAAUGUCUGAAUAGUCCUCUCGGUUUGUCCGCCUGUCUGUGGAUGGCAGGCAGAACUUAAUCUCAACUCAGUACCCAAAGCUUUCUGCAACGCUCCCCAAAAGUGAGAAGUAAACUUUGGAUCCCUAUCUAACACAAUGAUAGCCGGUACUCCAUGGAGUCUGACAAUUUCUCCAACAUAAAUCUCAGCAAGCUUAGCCACAUUGUAGUUAGUUCGUAGUGGUAUAAAGUGAGCUGAUCGUCAACUUGUCCACGAUCAUCCAUAUAGAGUCAAACUUCCUCUGAGUUUUUGGUAGGGCAACAACAAAGUCCAUGGAAAUGCUUUCCCACUUCCAUAGAAUAGAUUAAACUAGUUGCUCUAAUUUAUUUAAUUAAAAUAAAUAAAUAAUAGUGUGACAUAUACAUCUAUUAAAGAAUAGGCUAACAAGGAUAGCGCACGAGCUCUUCUUCUCAUCGUAGUCUUCUUGUUAUUACUUGAGUUUAUAUUAGAUUUAGAAGUUGAAUGAAAAUAAUUUCAAUUAUGAUACUCUUAUGUUGUCAUUUUUAGUUACUUUAUAUUAGAAAUCGUGGUUGGGCCUAACACAAUCCCACAAAACCGACUUGUGAGAUGAUGAUUGCCCCCACUUAUAAACAGAUUGUCAGGCUAACUCCUAACCGAUGUGGGACUCUUAACACACCCCUUCACGCUCAGUAUUGCACAUAAUUUGAAGUGUGAACAUAAAUGACGGGUGGCCCGGUAACAGAAACCUAAUAACAGGUGGCCUAAAGAAUCGUGAAGAGACUCUGAUAUCAUAUUAGAAAUCGUGGUUGGGUCUAGCACAACCCCACAAAACCGGCUUGUGAGGUGAGGAUUGCCCUCACUUAUAAACAAAUUGUCAGGUCAACUCCUAACCGAUGUGAGACUCUUAACACUUUAUAAUAUCACAUGCUUGUAAGACUUGGCAUUAAUUUUUAAUAUAAUUGAAGUUUGAUUUCAUUGUUUCAUAAAUUCAUUGUAUUUAUUUUUUUAAUGAAAUUUUGUACAUGGCUGCCCCUUUUUAACCAGCUUCUUUUUAAUCCCUGUGAUUUAGAAACUAGGGCAUUUACAUGACAGGAGGGCAUUGCCAUUAUUAUUUUUUUUAAAAAGUAUUAAAAAAAUAUUCUUAUUUUUAACCAGCUUCUUCUUAAUUCUAAUAACGUGUAGUUCUUUGAUUGGUUGUUCUAACUUCGAAGAGUGAUUAGUGGGAUUUGCACCAAUAGAAAUUUUCUCUCACGUGAGAUCCCUAUCUUUGAGUCACUAAUAUAGAGACAACAUUUUUUGGUAGUGACUAAUAUAGAGACAGCUAUAUUAGUAACAUGCAGUAGUAGUUUAUGAUUUUCUUUUCUUUUUGAAAAACAAAUAGUAAUAAUUUAUGAUCCGCGUUUUACACGAUGAUUUUGUGAUUUAAAAAAGAGUAAGUUGUUCAUUAGUUCUAGUUCAAUAUGUAGAAAUGUUGAAACUGUUAGAUCAUAUAUAUAUUGAUUUUUUUUUUUUUUUUUUUAUCAAGGUUAGAUCAUAUAUUUCUGCUGCAUAAAGAUUAACUUAUACCUACGGCUGUUUUUUGUUAUGAUAUACCUACGGAUUUGUUCCAUCGCUAUAUCCUAUAGUGAUGGAACUUUGGCUCUUGCACAAAACAUUUUGGUUUUAACUAAGGAUUUUGGCCGUAGGUACUGAGCUUAUUGAGAUAUGAUAAAAUGUUUUACCUACUGUGGCUUUAGGUAAAGAACUUAUUAGGAACUGAUAAAAUGUCUUACCUACGGCCUUAUGAAAUCAAUAGUAACCGGUCCAGAUUUGCUUUAUUAUCAUUUUUUUUUCUUCUAAAAAUGAUGUGGACUCUGUCAUUACAAUUGGUGGUGAUGGAAUUCUUUAGAAAAGUUCAGAUCCUACAUAUAUUUGAGUUUUAUAUGCAUGUAGUCUUGGUUUGAUUUUGAUGUAUUGAAUUUGCUAUAUCGACAGCUUAUGUGAUCUUUUGGAUUAUGCCAAUUUUAGUUUCACUUUCCUUUUAAGAUGUAAAGUUUGACCAAAAGUUGUAGUAUAAUUAAAGGGCUAAAUUUCAUUUUCGGUCCCUUAAUUAUUUAGGUAGUAUCGCUUUGGUCCCUUAAUUAAAAUUCGAUUUAUUUUGGUCCCUUAACUUCUCCUUGUUACACAUUUUGGUCUUUUCCGUUAGUUUUAAUUCAAAAACGUUAGGUUUUCUUCAUUUUCUUCUGAGAUUUUUGUUGUUGAAGGUUGAUGGAGAUGAUAUGAAAAUGAAAAAUAAGAGAAGAAGAUGAAGAAAACCUAACGUAUUUUUAAUUAAAACUAACGGAAAUAACUAAAAUGUAUAACAGAGAGAAGUUAAGAGACCAAAAUAAAUCAAAUUUUAAUUAAGGGACCAAACCAAUACUACCUAAAUAGUUAAGGGACCAAAAAUGCAAUUUAGCCUAUAAUUUUUGUCAAGGUAGUAAUCUGGCAUAGGACAAGCUCCUGAUGCAAUAGUGUCAAAAACCACUUCCAAUUAUACCUAUUUUCUACAUCCACAAUGGCAUAAACAAUGACAAAAUUGCAUUAUUUUAAUCUUGUACCACAACAGACAAUGGUUUCCUUCCAAAAUAUCCAUUCAGAAAACAUCCAUCUAAACCAAUCAACGACCUACAUCCCGCCAUAAAACCUUUUCUACAUGCAUUAGGACAAACAUAAAUUUUUUUGAAUUUUGGUGGGGACUAUGGAAUUUGUAUUGUAUUCAUCUUCACGAAAGAAGCUUAUUGCUUCUAAUUAACUUAUGCACAUAAGCUUGCAGAAGUCCAUACUACUCCCUUUUACUACCUUCAAACAACUGCCAUGUUUCCUUUGUUGCCCUAAAAAUCAAACAACCAUCAAGUAUAUGUUGGAACAAAAUGUGUUUCACAAUGAACCUUAUUAAGUUUUGAUUUUAACAUGGGAUUAAAAAUUGUCAAUUGGUUAUUACUAAUAAUUGUUCAAGUGUACAGGACCAAAAGCUACUCAAGUUAUUUCAAUAGGUCUUGGAAGAACAAUGGAAAGAAAAAGAAAUUUUGAGCAUCUGAGGAAAACUGCUCCUGAAGCUGAAGUGCUUCUGAAGUGAUGACGUCAUCAGAAGCAGAAGGUCAUCAGAAGCAAAAGUUUUCAUCAGAAGCAAUAUCUUCACCAGAAGCUACGUUUGAUCCUUUAAUCAAACUAAAGAUUCAAAGUAGCUGAUUCUCAAUUCAGUCUUAUCCAAGAAGAACGAAGAAUUGAAAGGGAGGUAUCAACGGAUAUAUGGAUAGCACUGAGCACUUGUCUCUCGUUAAUAGAGUUGACAAAGUACAAGUGUACAACCACUACCUCCACUACUCUGUUUUCUGUCUACGCUACAAGACAAAACAACAGCCAUGCCUGCAGAAUUUGUACGUUCAAGAUGGGAAUGAAUUUGAAGCUUAUUCUUCAAAGGACUACACCCAAAUCAGGCAAAGGAUCACUGGUGGAUAAUCAAAGGAUUUCAAACGACUCUUUAGACGUGCUGAUUAUCUCAACGUCUCUUUCACGCCUCUAUAUAAAGGAGUGAAGACUUGAAGAUUGGAGACAGAGAUACAUAAGUUCAAAAGCGCCAAAACUCUGUCAAUUUGAUUCUACAAAGCACACUGAAUUUCUGCACUGAUUUGAUACAUCUUAGAAAUUCAAAGUCUAGAGUCUUUACUGUAUUGUAUUGUGAACAUCACUGAUUGUAUAUCAAGUGUUCAACUCAAACUCAAUUCUCUGUAUUUUUGUUUGAUUAGAAGUCUCUUGCCUGCGUGCUUGAGCAUUAGAAGUCUCUUGCUUAGUGCUUGAGCAUUGGAAGACUCUUGCGUGUGUGCUUGAGCAUUUUUGUGAAGUCUCAUACUUAGAAAAUAUUGAGCAGUUGUAAUCUUUGUGAUUAUAGUGAAAUCUCCUUGGAAGUGCAAGGGGGACUGGACUACUUCCGUGUUGUGGAAGGAACCAGGAUAACUGCUUGUGUCUUUGUCUUUCUUUUCUCUGCUCUGUUCUUUUCCGCUGCAAUCUGACUCUGACAUUUCAUCAGAAGCAAUCAAACUGCUUCUGAAGUUUUAUCAGAAGAAGUAUUUUUUAAGAGAAAAAGAAAACACAAUUCAACCCCCCCUUCUUGUGUUUUUCACCUUCAGUAUAACCCCGUACUGAUGUUUCAUCAGAUUAAAAAAAUUUACUCGAGUUCACAUUAUAAUACAUAUUUUGUUAAGAAAAUAUUUUACGAAAAAACUUACAAAAAUAUAUAGCUGUGUUUAUAUGUAGCUCAUACACUUUUGUGAAUUACAUAGACUAGUUAGAAUUUAGGCUUAAUACAUGCUUUGGUCCCUUAAUUUAUUUUUGAAUUUCGUUUUGGUCCCUUAACUUUAAACCGUCUCAAUUUGGUCCAAUAACUUUGCCUCCGUUUACCUAAAUGGUCCCUUCUGUUAGUUUUUUUAACAGAAGGGACCACUUAGGUAAACGGAGACAAAGUUAUGGGACCAAAUUGAGACGGUUUAAAGUUAAGGGAUCAAAAUGAAAUUCAAAAAUAAGUUAAGGGACCAAAUCAUGUAUUAGGCCUUUUUUUUAUAUAAUAAUUAAGAAGCAAAUGAUUUGUUAUAUACUAUGUAACAUAUAACACUUCAUAUUGAAAGGUUGUUCAGUUUCCAACAAAUCAAAACAUAUGUUUCUAUUCAAUAAAUUAAUUUUUUUCUUGAGUUAUUAAUCGUGUUGAUAUGUGUCCGCAUCAAUAUUUUGUGUCUAUGUUAGUGUUUCAUAGAUUGUAUUAUAUGUACAUGCAGACCCUGAAGCAAAAGUGAUAUCUUUAUCACCAAAAGCAUUGAUGGCAACAAACAGAUUCGUGUGUGAAAUUUGUCUAAAGGAUUUUCAAAGGGAUCAAAAUCUUCAACUUCAUCGACGUGGAUAUAACCUACCUUGGAAGUAUAUUAAAAUUUCAAAGGGAUCAAAGGAUUUUCUUUAUCUCUAAUUACUUAUUCUUAUCAUAAGUAUAUUAAAAUUUCAAAGCUAAUUAAUUAUCACAGUAAAAAGAAAAUCAGAAAUAAGUUCAAAAUUACAACAUUUAUUAACAUUUAUUUUUGAAUUUCAUUUUGAUCCUUUAACGUUAAACUGUCUCAAUUUGGUCCCAAAGGGACCACUUAGGUAAACAAAGGUAAAGUUAUGGGACCAAAUUGAGACAGUUUAACGUUAAGGGACCAAAAUGAAAUUCAAAAAUAAGUUAAGGGACCAAAGCAUGUAUUAAGCCUAGAAUUUUAAGUUGAAAACGCGCAAUUCAAUUUUAUUCAAAUUUCAAAGUGACUUCCAGUACAUACAUAAGUUAAGAUGCUUUGAUUCCCAAGGGUUACAUGAAACCAGAGGGAAUCAAAGUGUAACAGGUACAUAAUAAGCAUAAAGGUACUUACAUAAUAAGUGAUCCUGCUCAUUUUUCUUUCUUAAUCUAACGAUCUAUAACCAUCGUAAAGUUGGUCGUACAGGAUCUGAGUUUUGUCUUAUUCCAUACUCAUACAUAUAUAGUAAACUACGCGUAUAAUAUGAUUUAAUUCGGAAACAUGGAGUUCAAAGAUGCUGAGAUAGAUCCAACUAUUGCCUCGGAAACUUUUGUCACAAAUCGAAGAACAGGUCGUUUAACAUACUUCUUUAUCUGAUUGCUGUAAUCAUUUCCAACAUCAUGAAAUCUAUCCCAAAGCAUAACUCCUCCAUAGUUUGAAGUCUGUUUAAUGAUAGGAAGAACCUUAGAAAUGAGAUCAUUUGGUGGUAUAUAACCAUUACCAGCUGCAUCAGGUGAUGCUGGUAGUCCCAUGAAAACGGUAUUAUUUGGUAGAACUGAAGAUGUCCAAUCAUUCCAUGAUUUUAAGAGGUCUGUAGCAUCCCCAUUUGCUUGAUUAUAUUGACAUGAAGGGUUAUUGUAGAAUUGAACAAGUACAUAAUCAAACAAGCCAGUUUUAAUAGCUUUGUCAAGGUAGUGAUCUGGCCUAGGACAUUGGGGUGCCGCAGACAAGUAAAAGUAACUGCAAGAGAUAAAAGGUUGACUUGUUAGUUAGGAUGUAAGCAAAACGAAUUCAAAAUAAUAGGGAGCUAAUUUUUUAAUGAUAAAUAUUAUAUGAGUCAGGCGAACAAAGUUCUUAGGACACUUUUUAAGGAUUCAAAAAAGAAAACAAUGAUAAAGUUUAUAUAUAAAAUGUUGCUUUUUAUUUCGUCAAUGUGUAGAAAACAUAUAGAACACUUGUUAGCAUUUUUUGUAUCAUAUAAAAUCAAAUCAUCAUAAAUUUUGAAAAGAAGUAUACUAUAGACGAGAUUAGGGUGUGUCUGAUUUGGAAAAUAGUAAGUAUAAACAGAACAAUAUAUAACAUGACAUAACACUAUAACAUGUAAGAAGUAUUUUUUACUUCAUAUUAAGUUUCACAUAUGCAAUAAUUUUAAAAUACUAGUUAAGCAUUACUUACCUUGUUUUUUUUUUCACUAAUAGGAUUAUAUAUGUAUUCCUUUCAAAAAAUAAGAGUAUAUAUGUAUUUAUUCUAUCAUUCCUUAAAAAAAAAAAUGUAUUUAUUGUAUCUCAAAUCACUUUCUUUUUUUACUAAAUUAAGAGCAUAAAGAAAUCAAAGAGAAUUGAAGACAUCAUCAACUAAAUUGGCACCCCUUAUUUCAAACCACUAACUACUCUAUUAAUAACCACUAUUAAUAAAACAAAACUAAUAAAAUUAAGCUCAUUUUAUCUUAUUUUGUACAUUCAAUGAUUCUCUUAAGAAAUGUUCUACUUCUACUAGGAGUAUAGUUUAUGAAUCUCUUUUUAUAAAAGUGGGAUGGGAUGAUGUGGUCAACUUUUUCUUCAUUUUUUUUUUAAUAUUUAUUUUUACAUAUAUUUUUAGUUUUAUAGUUUCAAGUUGUACUACAAGUACUAUCAUGCUAAAACUUGUCAUUCAAAAAAUAUACCUGUUUUGUUGUCUUAGGUUGUCAAGUUCCCUAGCAAGGUCAUCCCAGUAAAGAUUUGUACCUCCUUCAAUGUCAAAAUCAAUUCCAUCUAAGGUAACACUUCCAAGUGGACCGGAUUGACCACUAAGGAACUUAGCAUUUAGAUAAUCAGCAACAUUUUUAGCAUCCUCUGGUGAGCUAAGGGAGUAAGAUCCAAUUGCACCUCCAAGGGAAAGUAAAACUUUGACACCUUUUUGUUGACAAUGUUUUAUUUCGGGUUCGAGUUUUGUGCAAGGGCUCCAGUCACCACAAUGACCUGCAAAGUUCCAACUUGGGACUCUUCCUCCUCCAAAGACAUUGAGGAAAGCUAAGAGUACAAUCUCGUAAUUACCUGUGUCACAUGUUGAUGUCAAGGUGCCAUCUCCUAGGUUUUGGCCCCAGUAGAUGGCAAUGCCACCACUUGAAGAUGCUUUGAUAGUGAAGGGAAAUAUUGUUAAGACUAACAGAAGUAGCAAUGCUUGCCUUUUUGUAUCCAUUUUGUGCUUUUUGUGUUUAGCUAGUUUGAUUACUGUAGAUCGAUUGAGCAACCCUUUUAUAAGGUCUCUGAUAAGGUUAUCUACAUUUAUUUUAUUCUAAUGGUAAAUAAAAACUAUUGGUAAAUAUUGAGUAACUUAGCAUCCAGCCCAACAAAAUAGACUUUUUGGGACACGUUUUUUUCGAUUUUUUUUUAAUUGUCCCAAUAUAUACCACAUUGUAUGGACCACUGCUUCCUUCUUAUUUGAAAAUUGCUCUUCUCUCGUACAAAAUUGUUCACUUCUACAUGAACCGACUAAAAUACCUUCAACGUAAGUUAAUCACGUUUGGUAUAACCGAUGUGAGUUAACGCACGUUAGUGUAUAACCUACGUGAUUUAACUCACAUCAAAUUAAAUCACAUUCCGAACACCAACGUGAGUUAUUUUUAGGAUAGGGGGGUUGCAAUUACAAUACUCACCUUACACAUCAUAUAUGCACCAACCACUUGAGCAAAGAGAUUAUAAAAUAAUAAGUAAAAAUCAAUUUGUUCACCAUUGAUAUAUUUUAUAAUCUGAUUGUUCUCUUGAUGUAACUGUUGUUGGAGAAUUUUUUAAAAUAUAUAUUUGAAAAGUUGAAAUGAUUAAAUAAAGAUGUUCAACAAAGGGUGUAAUCUUUCAUUGAAAUAAUGUAACUAUUGUGUCUAUUGAUUAACAAUAUAGGUAUAUAAUUUCUUGUAAUAAGCAAUAUAAAAACUCUUUAAAAUAGUUGUUUCUCUUCGACGAAAAACAUAAAUUUCUCUAUAAGUAGAGAAACUUUGGAGGCAAGAAAAUAGAUACAAAAUCUCAUUCUUGUGACUCAAAAUUUUGUCAAAAAUAAUAUUAAAUGAUUUCUUCAUUUCUCUAGAGCACGAGAGUAAAAGAUGAAACUUUAUUCUAUUAACUAUAGGUGUACUUUUGAGUUUUUUUAGUGAAAAAUCAUGUAAAUUGGCAAAAUAAGACAUCACAUGAAAGAUCAAGGAUAUGAAGAAUGAAAAUCGGUGGUUCUUAGAAUUUUUUUGAAGACAGUACAAGUUGGGGAAAAUUCAUCCCAAGUUCCAAGACAUUUCAUGGCGGAAAAACGCUCGAAAAAGGGACAAAAACUGCAAAAUUUGCACUAGAGUUACUGCCUCAGGCGCCCCUGUGUGUCACUUUAUGCGUGCUGCGCAUGGUUGCAGGAAAAAUGCUAUUUUGCUUGUUUUCCUUGUUGUAUCGGUGGUAAAAAAAUCCAAUUUUCAUUUCUUAAACCUUAAGUAAUGAUGCACUAUAAAUAUAGACUUUUGCACACACUUUUAUUCAUUCAGAAGUUAGUGGUACAAGGCAAGGGUCAGGCAUUAGAGGUUCAAGGCAGAUGUAACACCCAUACUAAAUUGUCUAGAAUAUUUAGCAUGCGUAUUAAACUUACUACUGGAUACAUUAAAAUUACAACAAGAUUUGUUCGAAUGAAUACAAGCAUCAUUACAAGUUCGUACAUCUGAUAAAUUUAACAUCUAUAAAAUACAUAUAUCUGAUACAUAUUUGAAAUACAUAAGAAUUUAUCUAUGGCUGGUACAAAACAUGUAUAUGAUGGUAAAUCAUUCAGCUUCAUGUCUGCCUUUUCUUACAACGAUCAUCUGAAAGAAAAAACAGAGGGACUGGGGUGAGACAUGAUGUCUCAGUGAGUUCCACCUAUUCUAGGUUAUAUGCAAUCUCGGGGAACCUAUGAUCGUCAUUCGUCUAUACAUAUACCUAAUUUUAUGAUUUACUGUUAUGUUCUGCAUAUCAUAGCGAUCGGGGGAAAUCUAAGAUCGCUAACUGUAUAUUAUCAUAAGUCUUGUCAUAUUUAUAUCAUAUUUCAUAAAUUAUUAUGUUAAAAGGUUAGCGUAGAACAAACAAUAUUAUCCGAGUUCAUUUUACGGCAUGCACCGGGUGGAGUAACCCCAGCCACAUACCACUGUUGACCGGUGAAAAUUCCUAUCGUAUCAGGCUAACACCAAACUCAUCUUGUCAUCGUGCGGGCCAUCCUUAUUGAAAGUAUCCCAUCCCAUUGGCAUGAAUCUUCGUGUCCCACUAGCAUGAAUCUUCAUUAUUAAUGUUGUAUGGAUUUUCUAUCUGAGAAAAUCCCACCAGCCUAACCUGGGUCUGCGAUGGGAUACAACAAGCCUGAAUAAUUAAUAUACAUAUAUAUUUUGUUGUGUAUGUCUUCAACUUUGUGAAGUUGAGAAUGUUGGAAUCGUGACACGAUUUUGGCAUCGUCGCACGAUUUUCAAGGCAGUGAGCAUGGUUUUCAGGGUGUCCAAUCGUGACAUAAUUUUGGGAAAACGUGACACGAUUUUUUACUUGCUGGGCAAGUUUUUGAGGAUAAGGUUGGUCGUGCAAGAAUAAACUCAAUAUCACAUAAAUUGCUAGAAUCAUAUAUUUAAAGAACAAAAGAUUACAUUCUAAGCUUAAUCAAGUACCUCUAAUCCCAACAAAGGAGAUUUAGCUGAUCAUUGUCAUGAUAACAUUACAAAAGUGGAAGAAAAGAUGAAGAUCCGUGCCAAGAGCUUGAUUUCUCAAAGGUUCUUGAUGAAUCCACACUCAAUCACUCUUGCCCUAUGAAGAACAGUAUUUAUCGCCCUAUUCUCUCUCUAAAGUAAUGAUAAGAUAUGUUCUAAAAUGAGGGAAUGAGCUUUUAUACUUCUGCAUAAUUUUGCUUUCUCGCCAGGUAGGAUUUGCUCGCUGUGGCGAACUGAGCUUUCUUUUCGAGUGGGUUUCUACCACGUCAUCCUUCAGUGUUCCAAAAUCGCCAUAGCUCGCCAGGAAGGAAUUUCUCGCCAUGGCGAACUCUGAUCUUCAAAAACAUGGUCUCUAGAACUCAUUUGCACCCUCUUGCUCGCCCUUCCCUCGCUAUGGCGACAUCUCGGUCUCUGGUUCGCUAUGGCGAGCUAUGGUGUGAGCAUGAUGGUGACAUUCUGGAAUCCAUUCCCGCUAUGGCGAAAGAUCUCGCGAUGGCAAUUUGGCCUUUGCACUUCUUUUUGGUUUUCUUUCUCUGAUUAUUUCCUUGUUCAUUCUAUUCCUGCACAAUUGGGUAAAGUAAGACAUAGAAAGUAUAAAAAUACAUUUUAUCACCUUUUCAUGGUUUUUCCUUGGAUAACUUGUGAAACAAGUAACCAAAAGUACUUGAUAUAUAUCAUGAAAUUAACACUUUCUAGCACUUAUCACCCAACACUUACUAAUUAAGGAGGCAUACAACAUCAAUUAAUUCUUGGUCUGAACAAAGUGGCUUAAAGGGUACCAUUACAUACAAAGCUUGAUUGUACUUGAAAAUGGAAGAGAGUGAAGUUUGAGUUAUGGUGGGGAAUGAUUCCCUCCAUGGAGAGAUGAGGAAAGAACUUCUGCCAUAUCGUUUGCUUCUUUUUAGCUUAAAUGGAAGGUUUGAUGAAAUGGGUUAUGUUGUGAAUUCGGACAAAAUCACACCAAUGAAUAACAAAAAUGUGUGGAGAAAAGGAAGUGGUAAUCAAUGGAUAAAAUGUCUCCAACCAACAACAACAAAAACAUACCUAGAUCUAAGUGUAGAGCAACACCACAAGCAUAAUCAAAGCAAUAAAGAUAAUCAAUGAAAGAAAGGAACAAUCACACCAAGAUUGUUGACCCAGUUCAGUCGAAUAUGACCUAAUCUGGGGGAGAGAGCAACCCUCCAAUCCACUAUGAUGAAAGUGUUACAAAAGAGUUACAAGAAAUUAGCUUAUAAGCUUACACAAGAACAAGACAUAAUUUCUACCUAUUUUAUGUCAUCCACACUCUCAAUAAUGAAUCCUAAGAGAAAACACAAAAGGAAGCUUUUUGAUCCUUCUAUUUGUGAAAUCUCACUACCCAAGGUGUUUACAAUGUUUCCCAACCCAAGAGAUCUUCACUACAAAGACACUCAACCCUAAAGUUACCUCCUUUGUAAUCCAAGUUCUGUCUCUUCAAGCUCUUCUUCAAAAUUUGCACAAGAACACUUAUAUAGCAGUCUUUAGCUGUCAAACACGAUUGGUGCGUACGACCCAAGGUACGACCAACCUUAUCCUGAAAACGUACCCAGCAAGUUUGAAAAUCGUGUCACAUUUUCCCAAAAUCGUGACAUGAUUGAGCACCCUAAAAAACCAUGCUCACUGCCUGAAAAUCGUGACACGAUGAUGAAAUCAUGUCACGAUUUCUCUAUUCUUCCAAACCAUAACCACAAAUUUGAAGCCAAUUAACAACAUGUUAGCUUGAAAUGUGACGAAUUACUAAUGGUGACAAUUUGAAAUGUUGGGUUUUGGGAGAGAUUGGCCUUCGGCCAAGAGGAAAAAGAUGAGAGGAAAACCUUUUUUUUUUCUUUUUCCCCUAACUAUCCAAUAUGCCUUAUAUAAUAUCCUCUUUUUUUUUACCAUUCUACCUUUGCCUAAGUGGUAUUCCAACAAAACACCACACUUUCUGCAUGUAAACAAGCUUCUGAGCAAAACGCAGGACUUGUCCUGCGCUCUUGUGAUUUUGGGUAAAUUCCAUCGUUUAAGGGGUCCAAAAAAUAACAGUUUUUAACUCUUAUCAGAAUUUCUCGAGUACUCAAAAUCAACAAGACCUUCUCCAUUACACCCUCCGGUCACAAAUCUAAGCAAAAAUCAAUGUUUUAGGUUCAUUUAAUAAAUGAUGUAUGUGGUCUUUAUUGUAAACAACAUACAUAAUUUAUUGAAUGAAUCUAAAACAUGGAUUUUUGCUUAUAUUUUUUACCGAAGGGUGUAUUUAUUAGUAUCGGGUUGUUACAUUCUACC